rnacentral:misc_RNA from 1 species
ACUGGCAUUCCAGAAUCUUCCUGUACUGAACUUGAAACAUCAAACACCACUUCAUCGUCAGAAUCCACAGAUUCUUCAGUUACAAGCUUAGCAUUAGGUAUCUCAAGUACAUUCGAAUGCACUAUUUGUUUCUCAGAACUAAUUCUAAAUGCAGACUCAAUAUCUUCAAUUGUUUGUGCUUCCACCACUGGCAUUUCAGAAUCUUCCUGUAUUGAACUUGACACGUCAAACACCGCUGCAUCGUCAGAAUCCC